GAUGGACUGCGAGACAGACUUUACCCGAGACAGACUUCACACGAGAAUGACCCGAAAAUUACACGAAAAUUACACGAAAAUGACCCAAAAAAUGACCCGCCGUUACUUUGCUCAUGGUGCUUUCGACGGACAAAGUCAACACCCGGGACACCUCAUUAAAUUCAUGAUACCCUGUGACAUCUGCCGUGUUGCACCUGGACACUGGCAUGGGGUUUCUUAUGAAUAGGCCUACAACACUCCUCGUAGAGUUAAAGGCCUCCUCCGGAGCCUCUUCAUCCAAUGACCUCUCUCAUCCAAAGGCCUCUUCUCACCACUGCCUGAUCAGCAGCACCGUGGCCACCGCCGAGGGAGCCACUCGGGAACCCCGCAGUGAGUCACCCGGUUUUGCUCUCUAACGUGCUGGUUGAAGAGGUGUCGGUGGUUGGGCUUCUGGUGAGCCGUGUUGUUGUUUGUCAUUUGCUGUGUGAUGAUGCACCGCACACAUUACACUCUCCCUGUCUCCCGCACACACGCACGUGCUUUCGGUGUCCCUGUUCUUUCCCCUCAAACUUUGACAUUUAUCCUAGUAUGAUUGGUGAUGUUGGAUUGUGUCUUGAAUGCGGACCGGUGUUGUAACGUUACGUGUGGACUGACUGACCUGACCUCGCCUGUCCACUACUGGUCAGGACUUCUCCAUCGCCGAGCUUAAACUACUGGCCAUAUCAAAGGAUAAAUCCAAUCGGACCAGUUGGUCGGCAUGUCAGGAGCCACUCAAGGCCGAGUGCUUUUCCACUGGCGGACUUCUUUCAGUCUUAACUUCUGUCUAACGGGGCUGUUGGACCGCUUUGAUUGAAGGUGCAUAUUUUCUUCAAUUUCAUCCAGCAGUUUAAUUUGCAUGCGGGUCCUAUUUCAGUGGUGAGGUGUGAGCCACGUCAGCCAGGAAUUAUGACAGCCUUUCAAGUGCAAAUGGGAACGCACUUUACCGUCUGUGUGUGCUUUGCAGAAACGCAUCGGGUAAGUGUAGGUAAGUAUCCCAGCCUCAACACAGUGUUGAGACACUGUCUGGCUCGGGCGGUUAACAUCCCAAGUGUGUUUUCUUGCCAAGACGUCCUUCUGGCACAGUGGAUUCUCUUAACAUCAAACCAGGAGGCACGAGUCCCUCAGGGAACCAAGAAAUCGCACAACUCCACAACUCCAAUUUCCCAGAAGCUCCUUCAAAAGCAAAGUGAGGCGCUCAUGCUGCUCUCUCUCGCUGGAGCCCAGCUAUAGGAAAACGUUUCUCGAGGUUCAUCCACUGUUGACUCCACUCACUGGACCUCCUGGAAGACUCAGGACUGACUGGAUGGAUGAGUGUUGGUGUGUUUGGGCUCCAUUAGUGUUUGGUACAACGCUGGCAUUAAAUAAUUAAAGGUGUUUCUGUGAUGGAUUAGAGAAGUUUAUGUGCUCAUUAACACAUGUACUCGCACACACCGCUCGUAACACUCUACCAUUUCUGAUCUUGGCCUUCCUCUUUCCCUUUUCAAUACAUUUGAAGCUGCUAUCUGCAGCUGCUUGGAGUUUGGCAGCUUCCCUAUGCUGCUUGCUGCUGCUUGCUGCUGCUGCUUGCUGCUGCUGCUUGCUGCUGCUGCUGCUUGGCAGAUGCUUGAUAAUGGGUGUUCUGCAAUGUGGUUUUGUUCUGUGCAAUGUGUUCUGUGCAAUGUGGUUUUGAUCUGUGCAAUGUGUUUUUGUUCUGUGCAAUGUGUUCUGUGCAAUGUGGUUUUGUUCUGUGCAAUGUGUUCUGUGCAAUGUGGUUUUGAUCUGUGCAAUGUGGUUUUGAUCUGUGCAAUGUGGUUUUGAUCUGUGCAAUGUGGUUUUGAUCUGUGCAAUGUGUUCUGUGCAAUGUGGUUUUGUUCUGUGCAAUGUGUUCUGUGCAAUGCUGGUUUUGUUUAGUGCAAUGCUGGUUUGACUUGCGUUGGGGGUCCUUGUAUGUCCAGUCAGCUGACUGUUGGAUUGAAUGUACGAUGUUUGAAAGGUGUAAAGGGGGCUUUACACCCUAGUUUGGUGCAUGCUUUGCCUGAAACCAACUGUGCUGUGAACUGAACCGUUGUAGUAUUGAAUUCUGGUACAUAUUCAAUGUUUCUAUGGAACACUUUGCAUCAAAUUUGCCUUGUACACAAAUUUACAUUUUUGAAAGAAUUUCUACAUAUUCAUAUUUCUAAUUUGCGUGAUUUACCAACGGACGAUUUAUCCAAACAUCGGCAACAAAGUCUGCAGCAACACAAAGGCAAGUAACCUUUACAUCCUUGUUGGUUAAUCGUGACCUUGAUGGGUUGGUUAAUGUAUUCACCGUUUACAUCUUUGUGUUCAGUCCGGUUUCCCUGACGACCCAGAUGUGACGCAGGCCAGUCUUUUGUUAUGUGUGGCGACGGCAUAGUAACGGCACAGUACAGUUCAGUCCUCUGGCCCAUCUGGUCCUGAUGAGGACUACUCCAAGGCCCCCCCAAGAAAGGCCAGAUGCUGGCGAGCUGUAGGUGGACGAAGGCCCCGCAGAGAUGAACUCCCCAAGUCCACCCGAUGCUGACGGGAGCGAGCCAGGAUCCGUUCAUCGACUAGACUCGGAUCCGUAGAGGCUUCAACACCACGACAAUGAAGAUGGAGAGGGCAGAUGGAGCUGCUGGAGACCGGAGACCAUGGAGCAGAGAAGAUGGAACCUCAUCUACCCUGAAGAUCCCUGCUCCACCUGCUCCGCCUACACCGCCAACUACCCAAUCACUACUCAAAGAGCUUCACCCUCUGCCUGCUGCACAAAACUCUAUACCCCCCUCACUUUGUGUAUGUUUGGACCAGUCUUAUCCUUUGAUUGGCCAAGUCUUUCAUUUGUCCCAACCAAGAACGUCUCUUUGAGCCCAGUUUAUGAACUGGGAUUAGCUGGGAUUCGUCCAAGUCUCCCUUCCCCAAGGGCUUAUGUGUAACCAGAUCUAUCUGAAGCUAAUAUUAUCUGAAGCAAUUCCACACUUGUUGCUUCAUAGAUUUACUGUGUGGGUUUGUGUGUUGGGCUUUUGCCAGAAUUCCAUGGAAAUGUGCAAACUAUAAACGGGUUGCUUGCAUUGCAACUCUGUCAUUGUAUUACGUUAUGGAGCUGUGUU